UUAAUUCAUCAUUCAUUUCAC
rnacentral:piRNA from 1 species